AUGAACGCUGGCGGCGUGCUUAACCCAUGCAAGUCGAACGAAGCAUUUAAGACAGAUUACUUCGGUUUGAAGUCUUUUAUGACUGAGUGGCGGACGGGUGAGUAACGCGUGGGUAACCUGCCUCAUACAGGGGGAUAGCAGCUGGAAACGGCUGGUAAUACCGCAUAAGCGCACAGUACCACAUGGUACAGUGUGAAAAACUCCGGUGGUAUGAGAUGGACCCGCGUCUGAUUAGCUUGUUGGCGGGGUAACGGCCCACCAAGGCGACGAUCAGUAGCCGACCUGAGAGGGUGACCGGCCACAUUGGGACUGAGACACGGCCCAGACUCCUACGGGAGGCAGCAGUGGGGAAUAUUGCACAAUGGAGGAAACUCUGAUGCAGCGACGCCGCGUGAGUGAAGAAGUAGUUCGCUAUGUAAAGCUCUAUCAGCAGGGAAGAUAGUGACGGUACCUGACGAAGAAGCUCCGGCUAAAUACGUG
rnacentral:rRNA from 1 species